rnacentral:lncRNA from 1 species
ACACCAAAAAAAUAACAAAUAAAUAAAUAAAAAUGAUUUUAAGAGUGUUUGCUUCGCAAAGUAUAAACAACUUAAAUUUUCUUUUAAAAUAUGUAUAUAAUAAUAUUGUAAUAUUUCAUCAUCAAUUAAAAUAUUUUUUCACAUAUUUCUGAUGUCAUUGCUAUUCAAAUAUGAUUAGAUAUUGCCUAUUUAAAUAAUCAUUACUUUAAGGCUCCAUUCUAAUUCUAACUUAUUAACCCUAACCAUCUUUAUUUUUGUUACUAGAAAUUUUUUUUAGAUACUACUUGAUUGAAUAUGUCUAAUUAAAUGUUAUUUAUAAAACUAAUUUUCAAAAUUUGUAAAGGCAAAUUUAGAUUGGUAUAUAACUCUAGCAUUAAUUAAGUAAUAAGUAAAGAUGUUUAGAGGUUUAUUCAAGUAAUAACUAUAUUUUUAAAUUAACAUAACUUUUUAACUAAUAAUUUUAAAUUAAAUUCUAAUUCUCUCUAUUCUCUAAGAGUGCUUCGCCGUAAGUCCUAGUAGAGGCAGUUGUUUCUGUGGCUUGGGAUGGGGGAAAGCGGUGGCGACGUUAGAGAGCAGAGGGAUGAGAUUUCCCUUCUAUCUGAAGAGCUCAUGCAAUUAUCUGUUAAAGGCUCGAAGGUGGUUCCAAAUGAAAAACCAACCCUAAUCUGCACAAUUUGGACAGGUAAACUUUACAACCCUGAAAGUUUUAAAGCGCAAAUGAGGAGUGUCUGGAAAACAAAGAAAAAGUUUGAAAUUCAAUUGGCAGGUCAGAAUUUAUAUUUGAUUGUGUUUGAAUUGGAAGAAGAUCUGGAGUUGAUCAUGGAAGGUAGACCAUGGCUUUUUCGGAAAAGUUUAAUCUUAUUUGACAGGUUAACUCAUUCGGUGGAAAGAUCAAAGAUAUGUCUUAAUUCAUCUCCGGUCUGGCUAAAGAUAGGCCCAUGUUUACCAGAAUUUGGUAAAAAGGAUUUAUUACAUGCUAUAGGUGUUACAUUUGGAGGAGUCAUUAGAUCUGAAAUUAGUGGAGAAUGGUGUCGUCUCAAAAUUAAUCUAAAUGUACAUAAACCGCUUCGAAGAGGAAUCUUUGUCUCAUCAGAUAAUAGGAAUCAAUGGUGGAUUUCUUUUAAGUAUGAGAAAUUACCAUUAUUCUGUUUUGGCUGUGGACGAAUGGGUCAUGGACUUCCAGAAUGUAGUGUGCUGAGUACUGCAGAAAAAAAUAACAUUAAAGAGGAUCAUCCAUACACGAUGACAUUAAAAGCAGAAUCAAAAUUUGUUGGAAAGAAAGUUAUAAAAUUUAAUGAUUUUGCAAAGAAGGAUAGAACUCAAUGCUCUUAUACAGGUGAUUCUGAGUAUGUGAUGAUUGAAGAUAUAAUAAAUAGAAAAGUGAAUAAUUUGGAGGUGGGGGAAAAUGGGAGAUCACAAAUGAACGUGAAAGAGGAGAUGAUGAAGAACCAAGUGGUUGACGUUACAGUCAUGACUGAUGUAAAUAUGGUUGAUAAUAGGAGCAUCCCAAUAAUUAAUUCUAAUUCAGGAAAAAAAUGAGUUGGAAAAGAAUUAGCCCAGGUCAAAGGGGAAGUCUACGAGUGGAUGAAGGUGGUAUAAAGAAGAGGAAAGCUACGGAAGGAAGAGUGGAGUCUCUUAAUGCAGAAGAUGAAUAUGAUAGCACGAAACGACAGAAAAAAGAGCAAGAAAAGGACCUGGAAGAAUCGUUAACAGAAACGAUGAGUAAUAUUUUGGUUGAGAAUGAAGUUCAAUUAAUUAUGGGAUCGGCGGCUGCCAAGAGGCAAGCCGACCGAACGCAAUGAAAAGCAUCAGUUGGAAUGUUCGUGGAUUGGGGAGUCCACGAACAAUUAAAAGGCUGCGACAUUUCUUAAGGCAGCAUAAUCCCCAAAUGGUCUUCUUAUUGGAGACAAAAAUUAACAAGCAAUGCAUGGAAAAAGUCAGAAGAAGUUGCGGGUUUCUAAACGAAAUUGAGGUUGCUGCGGAGGGUUCCUGAGGUGGACUAUGUUUAGCUUGGAAAGGAGAUAUUUUAGUCACAUUGAGAAGCUUUUCCGAAAGUCAUAUUGAUGUUAUGCAGAAUGAAGAGAUUGAUAAUGUAGAGUGGAGAUUCAUAGGAUUCUAUGGACCCCCUUAUGUAAAAGAUAAAGAGGAGUCUUGGAACCUUUUACGGAAAUUGGGAUAGGAUCAGGUACACCCGUGGCUUGUAACUGGGGAUUUCAAUGAAAUUAUGUAUUCUUUCGAGAAGAAAGGAGGGAUUAUAAGAGAAGAAAGAAGAAUGGAGGCUUUCAGAAAGACCCUAGAGGAAUGUCAAUUAGAAGAUCUGGGGUAUACAGGGGCUUGGUUCACAUGGGAAAGAGGGAAUCUGCCUGAAACAAACAUCAAAGAAAGAUUGGAUAAAGGAGUUGCAAACGACAAAUGGAGAAAUCUUUUCCCAAACGGUAACAUUCAACAUUUAAUUCACUCGAUGUCUGAUCACUGUCCAAUUUUACUCAAUACAAGAAAUGGUACUGAUUAUGUGGGGAGGCAAAGGUUUAAAUUUGAGGCAUGGUGGAUUAUGGAAGAGUCUUUAGAAGGAAAAAUUAAAACAUCUUGGGAUACACCAGCUGAUUCUUUAAUGGAGAAAAUGGAAAUGCUUCAAUCGAAUUUAUUGGUAUGGGCAGAACAAAUUAGGAAAAGUGGUGAAGGGUUAAAGAAAAGGCUAAAAAGAACCUAGAGAUGCUGUUGGAGGAAGAAAGCAAUGACGAUGUGUUGGCAAAGAUUAUUGAUACGAAGGUGCAUCUAAAUUUAGAAAUUGACAAAGAUGAAAGGUAUUGGGAGCAAAGUGCAAAAGCAAACUGGCUUAAAGUUGGGGAUAAGAAAACAAGUUUCUUUCAUAAGUAUGCUUCAGCUCGUCGAAAAAGAAACAAUAAUUCGAGGCUUGAUUUAGGAGGUGGAGGAGAGGUGACUGAGGAGGAUAUGAUCAGUGAGGCUGCGAAGACAUUUUUUCAAGAGCUGUUUACAACAAAAGGGGUAGGAGAUUUAUCUCAUCUCUUAACAUGAAAAAUCAUGUCAGACAUGAACACAGGUUUAACGGAAAAAUUCACGGCAGAAGAAGUGUUUUCAGCCUUGAGAGGAAUGGGACCUACGAAAGCGCCAGGACCUGAUGGAUUUCUAGCACUUUUCUUUCAGUAAUACUGGCAUAUUGUAGGGGAAGAAGUUACCAGUUUUUGCCUUGACUGUUUGAACAGGGGUAAAACUCUUGGCCCUUCAACUCAACCAAAAUUAUAUUGAUUCCAAAAAUCCAGAAUCCCAAAAAUUUAUCAAUUUUCAAACCAAUUUGUUUAUGCACAGUUAUAUAUAAACUAGUUGCAAAGACAAUUGCAAAUCGACUUCAUAGGGUUAUUGGGCAGUGUAUUGAUGUGGCGCAGAGUGCUUUCGUCCCAGGUAGAUUAAUUUCUGAUAAUAUUUUAAUUGCUUAUGAACUCCUCCAUACUUUUAGAAGGAAACGUACAGGAAAAAAAGGCUUUAUGGCAGCUAAGCUCAAUAUGAGCAAAGCCUAUGACAGAGUUGAGUGGAGGUUUCUUAGAGAGGUGAUGCUGAAAAUGGGUUUUGUUGUUGAAUGGGUUGACUUAAUUAUGAAAUGUAUUUCUUCAACAUCUUUUGCAGUCAACAUUAAUGGGAAAAGGGGGGAAAUUUUCCAAUCUUCUAGAGGGUUACACUAGGGGGAUCCCCUCAGUCCAUUCCUUUUCUUAAUAUGCAGUAAGGGGCUUUCAGCAUUAAUGAAAUUGUCAUUAAAAGAAGGUAAGUUGAAAGGGGUAAGAGCAAGCAGGAAAGGUCCAGGGAUAUCACAUUUGCUAUUCGCGGAUGAUUGUAUACUGUUCACUAAAGCUAGCACUAAGGGAGUGAGAGUGCUAAAAGGAGUUCUGAAGGAAUACGAAGACUGCUCUGGUCAGUGCGUUAAUUUUAAAAAAUCCACGAUUUUUUUCAGCUCAAAUACAUCAAAGAAACAAGAGGUGAAAUUUUAGGCAGUUUAGGGUUAAGAGGGUCAACAGAUAUAGAAAAGUAUUUAGGUCUUCCUAAAAUGAUUGGAACGUAAAAAUGAGUCCUUUCAAUAUCUAAAGGAUAAAGUCAAUUCCAGAAUCAAAGAUUGGAGCAUUAGAUGGCUUUCACAAGGAGGAAAGGAAGUUUUUAUUAAAUCAAUUUUACAGGCCAUUCCGACUUAUGCUAUGUCAUGUUUUCUUCUUCCUAACUCCCUAUGUGGAGAACUGGAAAAAAUCUUUGCUAAUUUCUGGUGGCAAAAGAAGCAAGGGCAAAAAGGGAUCCAUUGGUGCAAAUGGGAGCAUAUGUGUAGAGGCAAAGAAGGAGGGUUAGGCUUCAGGAGUUUGGCCAAAUUUAAUAUCUCUCUACUAGCUAAACAAGGGUGGAGAAUACUUACCAAUCCAAGCUCACUGGUCUCACAAGUUUUAAAAGCAAAAUAUUUUCCAGAAACUAAUUUCUUAAACUCGCGUCUUGGGAAUAAUUGCUCUUACACAUGGAAGAGUAUAUGGGCUACUAGGGGUAUUCUAUCAGAAGGAUUAUGCUGGAAAGCGGGGAAUGGGAGUAAAAUUUCGAUUACGAAUGAUAGUUGGAUACCAAAUUAUGCCAGUUUAUCAUCGCAUUUUAAUUUACGUGAUUGUAAAGUUACAGAUCUAAUUGAUAAAAGUAAGAGGAAGUGGAAGCAGGAAUUGAUUGAGUCUACCUUUCCAAUGGAGAUAGCUGAGAGAAUCCUCUGCAUUCCGCUUGCUAAAGAGCCUCACAAAGAUUUUCCAGCCUGGAGGGGAGAGUCCUCAGGAGAGUUUACCGUGAGAAGCGCCUGUAAACUAUUACAGGGCAAUGAAAAUAAUCCUAGGGCUUAUGCCUUACAAACUGAAACUAGGAAUUUUUACAAAAAUAUCUGGCUCCUAAAUCUACCUUCGAAGAUAAAAAUUACAAUUUGGCAAAUAGCCUAGAAUUAUAUUCCAACGUGGGUGAAUCUGCACUACAGAAGACUCCUAAGUCAAACAACAUGUUCUGGGUGUGGUAGAGCAGCAGAAACCACAAAUCACAUCUUUCGUGAGUGUCCUGUGGCAACGAAAGUAUGGGAAGAUUUAUCACUCUCGAAGAUUUUACAUGAACCCUAUAUGGAAUUUUUAAAGUGGCUUACCUGGGUUUUCGAAUAGAAUAGUCCCAAUAUGCGUAGGGUAUUUUGUUGUGCUCUUUGGGCAAUCUGGGGAGAACGGAAUAAAAGAGUACAUGAGAAGGUUAGUAGAUCUGGGACAGAAAUUGCAGGUUUUGUACAGAGAUAUAUUUCAGAGCUCAAGGGGAUCGAAGAAAAAGCUCCAAAAAGUAUAAAAGAAGGUAGAAUGUGGAAACAACCACCUGGUCAGUUUGUAAAGAUUAACUUUGACGUAGCCUUUGAUGAGAAUGUUCGACAAUCGGCAGUGGGAAUUGUGGCCAGAGACAGUCAAGGAAAUGCCCUUUUAUCUAGUACAGAGCUUCAUCACCAAGUAGCAUCAGCCUUUGCCGCAGAAGCAAUAGCUUGCAGGACAGCAACUCGCAUCGGUAUGAACAUGCAAUGGCCAAAUAUUAUUAUCGAAGGUGAUGCACUUUCAAUCAUUAAGAAAUGCAAAACACAAGCAAAUGACAGAUCAAGGGUUGGAGCAUAUAUUCGAGAUAUUCAUCAGUUACUAAUAAAAUAAAAAAGACACUAUUUUGAGCACACACCUAGAGAGGCAAAUAGUCUGGCUCAUAUGCUAGCAAGGGAGGCAUUAAAGAAAAAGGAAGAAAUUUACCUGAUUGGCACAGUUCUGGAUUAUGCCGAGCGACUAAAGGAAAAUGAACGGAAGGGAGUACAAAGAAGCAGAUGAAAUGAAUGACACAAAUCUUAGAGGCUGAAAAAGGGGAAACCCAAAAGUUUGAAUGAAACAACCUCAUUGAUAUCCGAGAAACGUCUUACUGAAGAAAUGAAAAAUGGAUUUGAAAAUACGGGGAAGGAUUUGGUUCUGAUUGGGCAUGGUAGCAGUGCAUUUAAUAGGUUCUAGAGGUUUCUGUUUAAAGUUUUUUUUAAGUUUUAAAAUUUAAAGUUAAUGGGAGAACGGUUUUAUGGGUUUUGAUUUGCUUUUCGGGCUUGAGUAAUAGGCCUUAGUAUAGGGUUCAUUUUAGUAUAGGACUUUUGUGAUGAUUUGCUUGAUUUUAGUAAUAAAG